AUUGAACGCUGGCGGCAGGCCUAAUACAUGCAAGUCGAGCGAGCGGCGGACGGGUGAGUAAUGGAUGGGGACUGCCCGAAAGAGGGGGAUAACUGCUGGAAACGGUAGCUAAUAACGCAUACUAUCGGAUAACCCAUAGGGGAUUAGCUAGUAGGUGAGGAAAUGGCUCCCCUGGGCGACGAUCCCUAGCUGGUCUGAGGGUAUGAUCAGCCACACUGGGACUGAGACACGCCCCAGACUCCUACGGAGGCAGCAGUGGGGAAUAUUGCACAAUGGGCGCAAGCCUGAUGCAGCCAUGCCGCGUGUAUGAAGAAGGCCCUAGGUUUGUAAAGUACUUUCAGUCGGGAGGCGUUACCGACCGAAGAAGCACCGGCUAACUCCGUGCCAGCAGCCGCGGUAUAC
rnacentral:rRNA from 1 species